ensembl:lncRNA
GGGUGGGCCAUUUGUAUGGAUACACCGUAAUAAAAUGGGAAUGGUUGGUGAUAUUAAAGUCCUGUUUGUGGUGGGGCUGUGCGAUAUGACCAAAAUCUCAUAUCCCGAUAUAAGAAUUCUAUCCUCCCGAUAAUGAUAUAAAUCACAAAAAUGUAACAUUUUCUGUAAAGGCUGUGAAUUUCGGGCAGCUCGACUUGCGUGAAGUGUUUCCAGCUGGGCGUCAUGUAGCUGGAGUCGAGUGUUUUAACCGAUGCAUGAAACGAUACAUCUUUAGACAUAAGUUGUAACGGCCGCCGUUUUCUUUGUGAGUAUUUAUUACACAGUGUGCUGCGAGUAAAAGCCUGUUCUAACGUUUGAGUCUAAGGUUUAUUUUUUAGCACCUGGGCCCUGUUUCAGGAAGCCGGUUUAGAAAACUCAGAGUGAAAAACGAUACUCAGGGUUGAGUAACCCCGAACUGUCCAACUCGGAAUAUUCGGUUUCAGAAAGGCUGAUAACAAUUAGUUCAGUCAACGCGGAGUUGCUUUAACCCCAAGUUAAGCGCGCGCAUGAGGAUACAUAAAGCCCUGAUUAGUGGAGCACAGAUUAAGCGAGUCACUAUGGAGACGGAGGGAAAGAAGGCGCGGUCAAUGUAUUUUACAGCGCUUGAGGCCGAAAUUCUGAUGGCAGCAUAUGCAGAUAACAUGCAAAUUUUGCGGAAAAAAAGUAACACAGCCUCAGCUGCAAAAGAAAGUGAGCAUGCAUGGCAAAACAAAGCCGACAGAGUCAAUGCAUGAGUGUUAAUUUAAACAUUGAUCUAGGGAUUUCCACCCCUUUAACACGUUAUUUCAUUUUAUUUUAUUUUAUUUUGUAUUUCAUACAUUUGAUUUUGUGAUGUGAUGUGAGCGCAGGUGCAACCCAACAGGCCCCAAACGUUCCUGGCAGCAAGUAAAAAUGAAAUAUAAAAAUAUAGUCCAAACAGGUAAGGUGUAAUUGUAUUAUGAGCCAUAGUGCUUGGUCUGUUUGUCCGAUGUAAAUCAAUU